rnacentral:tRNA from 1 species
GGAACUGUCUACAGUGGUUGCGCGCCACACUGGCAGUGUGAGGGUCAGGGGUUCGAGUCCCCUCAGCUCCA